UGGGGAAUAUUGCACAAUGGGCGCAAGCCUGAUGCAGCCAUGCCGCGUGUAUGAAGAAGGCCUUCGGGUUGUAAAGUACUUUCAGCGGGGAGGAAGGGAGUAAAGUUAAUACCUUUGCUCAUUGACGUUACCCGCAGAAGAAGCACCGGCUAACUCCGUGCCAGCAGCCGCGGUAAUACGGAGGGUGCAAGCGUUAAUCGGAAUUACUGGGCGUAAAGCGCACGCAGGCGGUUUGUUAAGUCAGAUGUGAAAUCCCCGGGCUCAACCUGGGAACUGCAUCUGAUACUGGCAAGCUUGAGUCUGGUAGAGGGGAGUAGAAUUCCAGGUGUAGCGGUGAAAUGCGUAGAGAUCUGGAGGAAUACCGGUGGCGAAGGCGGCCCCCUGGACAAAGACUGACGCUCAGGUGCGAAAGCGUGGGGAGCAAACAGG
rnacentral:rRNA from 1 species